CAAAAGCAAUACUUGGAAUGCUGGGGAAAGUUGCUGGCCGUUUUAGAAACAAUAGAAGAUUUUGAAAGACCAGAAGUCCUGUGAUAAAGAGGGCCAGAACAGUCACUGCUGUGCUGGACUCAGCUGACCAGACAUAAUAUGCAGCCUUUCAGAUGAUACUAAAAUGAUAUCACAGAAAUAACAAGAAAAACCUGAGAGUACAAUUGCCAAAGCAUACCGGCUACUGAGGAAGAGCACAAGUUACUACCUCUGGAAUUGAAACAAACAAACAAACAAAAAACAAUAACAAAAAAGUACUACUCUUCAUUUCCUGAUUUUAACGGUAUGAUGUCCCAGGUUCAGAUUUCAUGCAAAUACUAUUGGAGAGGAAAACUUUUUGAAAAUUAGGCUGCGUUACACUCUUUGCAAUCCAGAAUGUCAUUUCCCAAUAAGUGGGAGGUGAGGAAGGGUAUGGAUUGAGCCACAGAAGGCAUGGAAAUACGUGAAACACCUAAAAGAGACACCUAGUCAAAACCCUUUCCAUCAGCAUCAAACACCAUCAGCUCUACUGGAAACAGACAUUGUCUGAAGGAGUUAGAGUGACACGGGAUGGAAGCCUGUUCUGUUCUUUAUUUUAUAAAGUCUUACAAAACCUCUGAUAACUGAAAUGGGGAAUCUCUGCAAGUCCAUUGUGAAACUGCAUAAAUUUAGAACUUAACGAGUUGUAAUUAGUGGCAUUGUAAUGAUCUCCGUAUGUUAGUAAGUUGUUUAGUAAGAAAUGCAGUUGUUUGCCGUUCUGCGCUGUACUAUGACAAAUUAAAAUUCAAACCAUACAAGCGUCUGUCUUUCGUAGAUCUCUCAUACGUUUGUCAAGAAUGUACUAAUAUAAAAAGAUGUGCAAAGCAGGAUGCACAGAACUGUUCUAUCUUGUUUCCAUGUUGCCUCUUUGUAUGCGAGAGAAUCAAGUACAUGCAUGCCUGGU